rfam:Legionella shakespearei DSM 23087 strain ATCC 49655 Lsha_ctg066, whole genome shotgun sequence.
AGACAGCGCUAUCGCGCUUCCUCAGCCCGAACGGCAUCGAAGUAACGAUUGGAUAAAACAAUCUUGUUAUCCAUAACUCACG